rnacentral:rRNA from 1 species
GGACUACUGGGGUAUCUAAUCCCGUUUGCUCCCCUGGCUUUCGCACCUGAGCGUCAGGUACUCCCCAGGACACUGCCUUCGCCUUUGGUGUUCCUCCGGAUAUCUACGCAUUUCACCACUCCACCCGGAAUUCCGUGUCCCUCGUGAGCCCUCAAGUCCGGCAGUCUUCGAAGACCCUUCUCAGUUAAGCCGAGAAUUGUCACUCCGAACUUACCGCACCGCCUGCGUGCGCUUUACGCCCAGUAACUCCGGACAACGCUCGCCCCCUACGUAUUACCGCGGCGGCUGGCAC